UUGGGCGGGUACAAAUUAUUAGUGAACUGCGACUGAACUUUAUUUCUAAAUAUCGCAUAAUUAAAUACAGGGCUAUUUAAAGGUGAAGGUUGGCACGGCUUGUCUGUGAGCAGAGGAACAGAACAGGCUUCUUUGCACCGCAUCGUCAGUCGACCUCAACUGUGAAUUUCUAGUCAGCAAAUGGGCGCUUCAUUUGGUGCAUUUGAGCAGAGGAUGGGAAGAGCUGCGCUAAAAAUGAUCACAUCGCCAUCUGAUCUACAGCUCUAUCGAUGACAGAUCAACACGUAUACCACUCAGUUACUUUCCCUAUUUAUUUGACAUUUAUCGAUUCAGUGAAUCUCAACGUUUUUAUGAAACCUGCCUAAAAUCUUAUUAUCUCAUGAAAAAGGCUGCUGGAGUUAUAGCUGGUCUCGGUCUUUGGUGCCAGCACCUGUUCGAGAGAUAUGAUACUCAUAUGCAGGAUUAGGACACGGUGCUGAUUGCAGCCAGACUUCUGUAACUCUCCCCAGGGAAGUACCUGGGAUGCCAGUGAUGCCCAUCAGAGAAGCAACCGCAAACCCGGUGAUCUUUGACACGUACAGGAAAGCACUUACUAUGUCCAUUAGCCGGCUGUGAUUUGUAUAUAAGUUUAAAAGAGAAUGAGACUCAGUGGGGCAGUAAGAAUUUUCUUAGCAAGGGAAUAUGUCAUACCAUAAACUGAUGAGGAUAAUUGGCUAAAUCUCAGAGUGAACUUGGCAAAGAGCUAGAACUAGGAGAUUGGUGUAUUCAGUUGAUUGUUCUGCCAUUUAUAGGGGCACAAGGAAACAAUGCCCAUAGUCUGAGUUGUGUGGAUCAAAAUGGCAUCCAAAAUAAGCAAGUGACAUCAGACAAUUGCUCAAGUUGCCUUUUUGCCUUUUGUUAUAUAACAUGGCAUGAGUGAUAUCAGCCCGGGUGCUCACAAACCAAAAAGAAAGAAGGCCAAUUUUUCAUGAGGAAAUCAAAAUGCUGAUGCAGAACUAAACUUCACCAUUUGUUGUUAUUUACUGAAGGACAAUAAUGAGGAAUUUGGGGCACAACUGGUAUAGAUGCACAACAGUAACGUACCACAAAACAGUAAUGACAUUACUUAACCCUCAGAGGAUUUAUAAAUGCAUUUAAAUGUUAGGCAUGAAUUAAUUGUGCAAAGAUGCAUUAACAACCAGGUUAAAAGAGGUAAAGCAUCACUUCCCUCUCUCUCUCUCUAUCACCCUGGAAACCCAGACCAGGUUCCCCUCAUACAACAACAUCCAUCUGUGUCUUAAUUUAUAUUUCCUUUGGAAAUUUAGACUUAACUACUUUUGGACAGUGUGAUCGGCCAACAUGUUGCUACAAUAGUAACUUUAUGGGUGAGCAGAAAUAAAAAUGAAGAAAAAAAAUUCCUGAAUAUUAUAAAUAAAAUAUCGUUUGCUCUCAGUACCCUACCCUGAUAAGAGGAAAGAAAGAAUAUCCUCUUAAGAAAGAAUACCCCAAAACCUACACAUGUAAGAAGUGGUGUUUUGCAGAAAAAAAUAGAAAGGAAAUUCCAUAACGUUUCCUCCCUUUUCCUUUCUUUCAUUAUGUAUGCACGUGCAUAUGAAUCUGUUUAAAUUUAAAUUCUCUUUAAAUACAUCUUUAAAUGUGGGCAAGGAUUGCUCCAUAAUAGAGUGCAGACAAGCAAAUCCAUAAUAUACACAUUUUCUCCAUUUAGAGAUUGAUGAAUGCAGAACCAAAAGAAUAAAUAUUUGAUAGUUGUAGAAAUUGAAAUUCGUAUAUGUGUUUGACAAAAAUCUUAGAUUUCUAAUUUCUAACCAUGUGGUCAAUUUAAACCAGUAUUAUGGAGAUGGUAAAGUUUUCACUGAUGUUAUCUCCAUUAACAAAAACAUUUACAGUAGGACAAAAAUUUUUCAGUACAAAGAAAGUUGGUAAUUAAUAGAAUGAUUGGUGCAUUCAGAUAUAGCAUGUCUUUUUGUGAACAGAAAUUUCAUACAGCAAAUGCUUCUAUGAUAUAGUUAAUCUGAAGCACGAUGUUAGGUUUGUUGUUUUACAUUUACAUGGGAAAAGGGAGACCAAAUAUCUUCUUUAGUUUUAUGUCUUCUUCUUUAGUAUCCUAGGCUGUCCUUCCAAGAGCUGUAUUUUAGCCUUCAUGCAAAUUGUUUCCUUUUUACUAGUUCUGCAUCAUUUUCUCAGCAUUUUGCUGACUUCCCACCCCCAGGAUUGUGAACUUGAUUUAAACCAUGUCUCUAUGAAAAAAAUUAACACUGAAUCUUUAUCAUGUUUUAAGGAUAUUUUUCUUAUAAAAAUAGUGGUGUGUUCUUAAAAUUAUUCAAUCCAAACAUUCAACAAAUGUGCCCUACUAAUAGCAUAUAAAACAUAAAUGUACACAUUCUGAUUUGAUACUAGAGGAGCACAAGACAGAAGAAUUUUGCAAGUCUUCCAUUCUCACGCACUAGUUUUGGCAUCUUUUGGAUUACGGCCCAGUGUACUAACAGUGUAUUUCUGUAUCACACAGGUAGAAGUGAGAAUUUGAGGCUCAUUUAACAGUGUGAAUUUUCCCAAUGUAUCACAAUUACAGAGACACCUGUGCUUUCUAACUUUUUGCUGAUCCACUCUGAUAAUUCAGUGUACUUAAAUAACCAUAUUGCUAGUGUGCCUAAGUGCCAUAUUUUAUUUUAUCCUUCCCUUACUUCCCCUUCUUUCCUUUCUCCUUUCAUUCCUCACUCUUUCCUUCCUUUCUUCUCUCCUUGUUCAGUUUUUGCUUCUUUCAUCCGAUGUCUUUGUCCUCCCUUCUUUUCCUUUAUUUUUCCUUUUCUUCUCUAUAUUUUCCUUCCCUUUGUUGAAGUUUUAAAAUCUGCCUUUAAGCAAUAGUUUUUCAUCAUGCCCAUGGAAGUCCUAAAUUUGACAAAGUUUUCAUUCAUUCACUAAAAUGAGGAAAAACAAAGUUCCAAGAUGCUGCCUAUCAACAAGCAGUCACAUUAUUCUAUAGAAAUGGUAUUUAUUGAUUUCAUUUUCUAUCAAACAUGUUUCCUGUUUCACAAUGAUAAAAAUAAAACUCCUACAAGGCUAUACAGCCAUAAAAUUUGGGUUUAAGCAUCUAGUCUAAUGUAUAAAUCUGCCUUCACAUAGCAAUUGCCUGUCGAGUCACAACGGAGAGGCAGACCUUCCCAAGUUUCCUAUGUAGCACUGUUUACAAGGCAGUCCUGUACUUCUGGUUUACAGCCCUGCAUAGAUGCUGUUACAGUUAUACUUAGAUCUUUUUUUGGUAUAAUGGAAUUUAAUGAGAAGGAAAGUGUGCUUUCAGUUUGCAUUUCAGAAGGAUUUAUGGUUAAACUUAGGAUAUGUAAAACCACAUUUUCCCAAAAAUAAGCAAAGGACUCAUUCACAGAAAGAACAAAAUGUCCCACCUGAAUUGACAAUGAAGGAAUUCUUGUAAAUUUUUUGAAGUAUAUCAAACAUUAAAAAGUACAUUUCUGAAGCCAACAAGUUUCCUACCUUUUGCUGAAGUCCACCUUAAUGUUGGUUACAACUCUGGUGUGUUGCUCAUUUGCAAAUCCCACUGCUGUGACUAAGAAAGGGUGGGGCUGCAUCCCGAGACAUCUGUAGACCAGAGGGGCUGGCAGGGACCUCAGAGCUUUCCAUUGAAGUGAGUACUUGCAGCCUGGCUGCAGGAACACUUGACCUGAGGUAACUACUUCCACAUAUCAACACCUUGUCAGUGGAGAUCUGAAAGACGCACAGGCUGUAGAGAAAAGGAAGUACCUGCUUUAGGAAGAGCUAAGAGCUCCCUGCCCCUUCUACCACCAAAUCUUUAGUACUGAAGAGAGAAAAGAGAAGUUUAUAAUCAUAAAGCAAAUUAGGUGUUUCAAUUAUGGCAGUGGUUGGCUUUGGUUAUUGGUAACUAUUAUUAUAAUGAAUUUCUUAAAAUUUAUUGUAAUUAACUAUAUAAUGAAUUUCUGAAAAUUCAGAACAUGUAUGAUUAUCUAAUUUUAGAAUAAUUUAUUUCCUUGCAGUCAGCGGUUCUAAGUGCACUGUUGUGGCACAUACAUUUAUUAUGAUUCUUUGUCGGAGGUUCACAAGUAAUUUGUGAUGAAGAAUAGUUUUCGGCUGGGCGCGGUGGCUCACGCCUGUAAUCCCAGCACUUUGGGAGGCUGAGGUGGGUGGAUCACAAGGUCAGGAGAUUAAGACCAUCCUGGCUAACACAGUGACACCCCGUCUCUACUAAAAAAUACAAAAAAUUAGCCGGGUGUGGUGGCGGGUGCUUGUAGUCCCAGCUAUUUGGGAGGCUGAGGCAGGAGAAUGAAGUGACCCGUGAAGCAGAGCUUGCAGUGAGCCGAGAUCACACCACGGCACUCCAGCCUGGGCAAUGGAGCGAGACUCUGUCUCAAAAAAAAAAAAAAAAAAAAAAAAAAAAAGGAA
ensembl:lncRNA